CCUAUUUGAAGGUUUGCGUCGAAUUUGAAUCGGGUUUUUAGGGCGGUGCUAAAGUGAUCUUCAGAAGUAAACAUUGUCUUUUGAGAGUCAUGAUCGCUUGCAGUGACGACGCAAAAAAUGACUAGGUAUCUCCCCCCUCCUUACCCCGUCACUGUCCAUUUCUUGUUUUUAAACGAUGAGAGAAGUGCUACACCUGGUGGAGAGAGAUUGUAAGACAGAAAUAGUUGCUUUACGCGUGCUGUACGUUACGGCAUGACACGUCACGAUGUAACGGAGGGUCAGUUAUUUCAACUUUUCUCCAAUACUAUAGAGCCAUUACUAUGUCGAUAAACGCUUGAAUAGAAACGUAGUUCACACCCCAGAUUUUGAAGUCAACACAGUCCCAUUAGUUUUCUUUGCAGCCUCGUUUGAAUGUCGCGGUUGCGCACAUUUGUACGGAAUGGGGACCUGAGCCCUAGGAACAUGCCUCAGGACUACCUGGCAUGAUGACUCCUUGUUGUCCCCAGUCCACCUGGCCGUGCUGCUGCUCCAGUUUCAACUGGUCUGCCUGCAGCUAUGGAACCCUGACCUGUUCACUGUGAUUAUUAUUAUUUGACCAAGCUGGUCAUUUAUGAACAUUUGAACAUCUUGGCCAUAUUCUGUUAUAAUCUCCACCCGGCACAGCCAGAAGAGGACUGGGCACCCCUCAUAGCCUGGUUCCUCUCUAGAUUUCUUCCUAGGUUUUGGCCUUUCUAGGGAGUUUUUCCUAGCCACCGUGCUUCUACACCUGCAUUGCUAGCUGUUUGGGGUUUUAGGCUGGGUUUCUGUACAGCACUUUGAUAUAUCAACUGAUGUAAGAAGGGCUUUAUAAAUACAUUUGAUUUGAUUUUGAUUUGAAUGCAAUUGCUGAAUUUAUGUAGAUAUUCUAAACUAAGUGUUCUGAUACAUUUCAAAUGUAGUAACAGGUCCAUGUAGAAUAAACAACCCUUUCCAUAAUACCAUAGAAGCAGUAUUCUGCUAAUAUAACAAUGUGCACCUUUCACAUUUAAUUGUCAUUCCCAGCCAAAACAGAUACUUUGUCUAUCUGCAUUUUGUCAGGUGGUAAUUGGGCUACCUUGGCAUGUCAGAGUGCUCAUACCGUCCUGUGUGGUAGCACGUAUACAACAGGAGUUUCCUGAUCCUAGUGCAUUAUACACAGGGUUUCUCCCUCCCCAUAUUGACUGAUACCAUUCUAUUCAAUAAUUAAGACAAUACAAGUAAAAGUUGUGUCUAGUAUAAUCGUAAAGCCGAGUUCCAGAUCUCUCUCCAUUCAGUGACAAGCAUGUCUGUCAGUCUGGAUUUCAUAACAUCAUCUUGCAAGUCUCCAUGUGCUGGCUCCAUACAUGUUUCUGUGAACACAUACAAACAGUCACUGUUCUAUUACCAAAGGCAGUUAGGGAUAGGUGAUAUCUGACACACAAACACAUAUUACGUUGAAGUUUGAACAACUCAGAUAAAACCUUCCCAAUUAUGGUCUCCCCAUCAAACGACCAAGGCCGGCAUCUGGCAAAAGCAUCUACAGUCCUCUCCAUCUGUAGAAAUAGGCAGAGUUGAGGCAGAGUUCAUCAGUGACACAUGGAAUGAAAAGGAUUUUGCAAAUACUGUCCAUUUCUCCUGUACUGUAUUAUUAGUAAUCCCCUUCAGUUCCACAUUGUGGAUGUGUUGAGUGCCAGGUCUUUCUCCAUUCAGAGAUGUCAGUAUCAAGCCUGUCUGUUAGUCAGGACUCCAUCGCAUCAUCUUGCAAGUCUCCAUGUGCUGUCUUCAUAGAUGCAUCUGUGAACACAUACACAGUCACUUUAUAUUACCAAUAUUAAGAUAGGUGAUAUCUGACAAACGAACAUAUACUAUGUUGAAGUUUGAACAGGUCAGACUUAACCUACCUAAUUCUGGUCUCCCCAUCGACGACCGUUGGUGAGCAGGUAAGAAAGAGGUGAGGUCUAUGCCAGCAUUCUGUUGUUGGGUAUUACAGGCUAGGUUAUGCCCUGGAUAUUAUAUGCAUCUAAGAAGUAGAAAAUAAGCAACAAAUAAUAUCCGUUUACAUACAUUAAUCGGAAUGGCCGAUUAAUUAGGGCUGAUUUCAAGUUUUCAUAACAAUCGGUAAUCCGUAUUUUUGGCCACCGAUUAGCCGAUUAUUAUAUAUAUUUUUUAAACUAGGCAAGUCAGUUAAGAACACAUUCUUAUUUUCAAUGACGGCCUAGGAACAGUGGGUUAACUGCCUUGUUCAGGGCCAGAACGACAGAUUUUUACCGUGUCCGCUUGGGGAUUCAAUCUUGCAACCUUACGGUUAACUAGUCCAACGCUCUAACCACUUGCUUUACAUUGCACUCCACAAGGAGCCUGCCUAUUACGCGAAUGCAGUAAGAAGCCAAGGUAAGUUGCUAGCUAGCAUUAAACUUAUCUUAUAAAAAACAAUCAAUCAAUCAAUCAUAAUCACUAGUUAACUACACAUGGUUGAUGAUAUUACGAGUUUAUCUAGCCUGUCCUGCGUUGCUUAUAAUCGAUGCGGUGUGCAUUCGCGAAAAAGGAUUGUCGUUGCUCCAACGUGUACCUAACCAUAAACAUCGAUGUCUUUCUUAAAAUCAAUACACAAGUAUAUAUUUUUUAAACCUGCAUAUUUAGUUACUAUUGCCUGCUAACAUGAAUUUCUUUUAACUAGGGAAAAUGUGUCACCUCUGCAACAGAGUCAGGGUAUAUGCAGCAUUUUGGGCCGCCUGGCUCGUUGCGAACUGUGUGAAUACUAUUUCUUCCUAACAAAGACAGCCAACUUCGCCAAACGGGGGAUGAUUUAACAAAAACGCAUUUGCGAAAAAAUCACAAUCGUUGCACGACUGUACCUAACCAUAAACAUCAAUGCCUUUCUUAAAAUCAAUACACAGAAGUAUACAUUUUUAAACCAGCAUAUUUAGCUAAAAGAAAUCCAGGUUAGCAGGCAAUAUUAACCAGGUGAAAUUGUGUCAGUUCUCUUGCGUUCAUUGCAUGCAGAGUCAGGGUAUAUGCAACAGUUUGGGCCGCCUGGCUCGUUGCGAACUAAUUUGCCAGAAUUUUACGUAAUUAUGACAUAAUAUUGAAGGUUGUGCAAUGUAACAGGAAUAUUUAGACUUAGGGAUGCCACCCGUUAGAUAAAAUAUGGAAUGGUUCCGUAUUUCACUGAAAAAAUCAACAUUUUGUUUUCGAGAUUAUAGUUUCCGGAUUCGACCAUAUUAAUGACCUAAGGCUCGUAUUUCUGUGUGUUUAUUAUAUUAUAAUUAAGUCUAUGAUUUGAUAUUUGAUAGAGCAGUCUGACUGAGCGGUGGUAGGCACCAGCAGGCUCGUAAGCAUUCAUUGAAACAGCACUUUACUGCGUUUUGCCAGCAGCCCUUCGCAAUUCUUCAAGCAUUGCGCUGUUUAUGACUUCAAGCCUAUCAACUCCCAAGAUUAGGCUGGUGUAACCGAUGUGAAAUGGCUAGCUAGUUAGCCGGGUGCACGCUAAUAGCGUUUUAAACGUCACUCGUUCUGAAACUUGGGAGUGGUUGUUCCCCUUGCUCUGCAUGGGUAACGCUGCUUCGAGGGUGGCUGUUGUCGAUGUGUUCCUGAUUUGAGCCCAGAUAGGAGCGAGGAGAGGGACGGAAGCUAUACUGUUACACUGGCAAUACUAAAGUACCUAUAAGAACAUCCAAUAGUCAAAGGUAUAUGAAAUACAAAUCAUAUAGAGAGUAAUAGUCCUAUAAUUCCUAUAAUAACUACAACCUAAAACAUCUUACCUGGGAAUAUUGAAGAACACUUUCAUAUGUUCUCAUGUUCUGAGCAAGGAACUUAAACGUUAGCUUUUUUCCAUGGCACAUUUUGCACUUUUACUUUCUUCUUCAUCACUUUGUUUUUGCAUUAUUUAAAACAAAUUGAACAUGUUUCAUUAUUUAUUUGAGGCUAAAUUGUUAGUAUUUAUGUAUUAUAUUAAGUUAAAAUAAGUGUUCAUUCAGUAUUGUUGUAAUUGCCAUUAUUACAAAUAAAUAAACAAUCGGCAGAUUAAUCGGUAUCGGCUUUUUUGGUCCUCCAAUAAUCGGUAUCGGUAUCGGCGUUGAAAAAUCAUAAUCAGUCGACCUCUAUUACCUUCUGUAUUUGUACAAACGAGCAGCCUGUGAAAGCAGUUGCCGCUGACAGGUGAAGGUUGCUGGCCAGAUACUUCCCAUCAUAUACAGUUGAAGUCAGAAGUUUACAAACACUAAGUUGACUGUGCCUUUAAAAAGCUUGGAAAAUUCCAUAAAAUUAUGUCAUGGCUUUAGAAGCUUCUGAUAUGCUGAUUGACAUCAUUCGAGUCAAAUGGAGGUGUACCUGUGGAUGUAUUUCAAGGCCUACCAUCAAACGCAGUGCCUCUUUGCUUGACAUCAUGGGAAAAUCAAAAGAAAUCAGCCAAGACCUCAGAAAAACAAUUGUAGACCUCCACAAGUCUGGUUCAUCCUUGGGAGCAAUUUCCAAAUGCCUGAAGGUACCACGUUCAUCUGUACAAACAAUAGUACACAAGUAUAAACACCAUGAGACCACGCAGCUGUCAUACCGCUCAGGAAGGAGACACGUUCUGUCUUCUAGAGAUGAAUGUACUUAGGUUCGAAGGACAACAAAGUCAAGGUAUUGGAGUGGCCAUCACAACGUCCUGACCUCAAUCCCAUAGAACAUUUGUGGGCAGAACUGAAAAAGCGUGUGCGAGCAAGGAGGCCUACAAACCUGACUCAGUUACACCAGCUCUGACUGGAGGAAUGGGCCUAAAUUCACUCAACUUAUUGUGGGAAGCUUGUGGAAGGCUACCCGAAACGUUUGACCCAAGUUAAACAAUUUAAAGGCAAUGCUACCAAGUACUAAUUAAGUUUAUGUAAACUUCUGACCCACUGGGAAUGUCCUGAAAUAAAUAAAAGCUUAAAUAAAUCAUUAUUCUGACAUUUCACAUUCUUAGAAUAAAGUUUUGAUCCUAACUGCCUUAAGACAGGGAAUUUUACUAGGGUUAAAUGUCAGGAAUUGUGAAAAACUGAGUUUAAAUGUAUUUGGCUAAGGUGUAUGUAAACUUCCGACUUCAACUGUGCUUGUGUCGCAUGACACACUGUUAUUCUGAGGUCUUGCCUGACAAGCUGUGAAAAUAGCAAGUGAACAGUGAAUUGAAUUAUUGUUGGUGGUCGCUAAACCAUAGCAAUCACAUUGCUGGACAUGUUAUGAUACUCAAAUUUGCUCCUUCUGGUAGUUCCCGGCAUCCGUUCAUGACCAGGGGAUUAGUCUGCCACCCAGCUGUGCACUUUGUCUAACAGGAAAACAUGGUCAACGAUUGUGAUCAUCCCUCAAUUAUUAACAUAGUUUGAGAAAUAACAUAAUAUCGUUUGAAAGCUAAUUCUAUGCUAUACUGAUGUAGACUGACUGGCUCCAGAUUCGAUUGAGGCUGGUGACGCCGUUAUACUAUGCAACCAAAAGUUUUGCUAUGGCCCUGGGUCGGUUUGGUGUUGUUGCUGCUAGUUAGUACAAUGUUGUAGUCAGACAUGAGUUAGCUAGAAUCACCAUAGCUGCAGCCAAUAUGUAUUUGUGCCCUAGACAUGGGUUGCACCUUGGAGGCUAAUGUGACUGUUUCAUCUAUAUUACAUUAACUUAUGGUGGCAUGGAAAUAUAAUGACAUUGCUAAAGUCCCCAAAUAAUUAGUAAGAAACAAUUUUGCAAUAUUAUGUCAUUAAAUUGAACAAAACUGGUACUCAACACAACCACAAUAUGGGACUGAAGGUGAUUGCUAAUAACACAGUACAGCAGAAAUGGACAGGAUUUGCAACAUCCUUUUCAUAGGCCGUUUUCAAAGGGAUUCAUUGUUUUUUUAUGGGCAGUCGCUCUUUAAGUUUCCCCAGCCAAGCCGCAUUUUGUAUAGCAAAAAUGUGACACCACACAACUCAACCCCAUGUAUAGACACACCUGCAUAUAGCCAUAGCCAUCAUGUUCAUUCUCACUAUCAGGAAAUGUCAUGUUGUUCAACAAGUUAUGUAAUGUCACCUUAAUCAAAAUGAUCACAAUUUCCAAACACUGCAUCUUUUGUCAUAUUGUAAUUCAUUUAUUGGAUAUAAAUCUUGAAAACAAAGAACAGAAUAAGUCUUAGCAUCCAAUUCUAUUAUAGGAUUUUAGGCCUAUCACGAAGCGCGUCUCUUUUUACAGAGGAUUUUAAAUGAAUAGUGGGUGCAGCAUUAGGUAAACAGCUGUGUAGUGCCUCAGUAACCAGGUUUCCAUCCAACUUUUUUAUGAGAGUUAUCAUGACGUUGGCCUCUGAGUACAGGGAGGACAGUUGACCCCCUCCCCCCUUGCACCAUCCCCCAACCUACCUUCCCCCACCCAGUCCCUGUGUGAAGGAGUGGUAAAAUUCCAGGAGAAUCUCUUGCCACAUGGCCCAUAGAGAGACACAGGAAAUUCUUCCAACUCACAGAAUUGGGGAGCCAAGCAACAUUUGUGUUCGGGAGAAGGUAUGAAAGAUUGGUGAAGAAUCCAGCUACGAACUGGUCCGCUUGGUACAAUUUUGUGAUACUCAGAAGAGACAAUAUAGCCAUAUUACCAUAAAACUGUUUAUAUAAUAGCCUCAGCGAUGAGACUUGCAUCCACAUGGUUGUAUAAAAUGUAUUAAUAAGGAUAAAGCUAUUUGUAAUACAUUGAGAUGCUAUGUACUGAUGUUAAUGUGAUAGAAUUGUAUUUCUGUACCAAGCUUAACUCAGUCAUCCGCACGCCCCCAGGGACACAGACAGGACCAGGUGUCAUGUGACAUGUUCACUAUAAAACUAUACCCUGAUCUACUUUCUUCAGACCCGGCCUCCACUCCAUUGCGAGUUGGCCAAUAGGUUUGACCAUCCAAGUACUCUACUGAAAGUGAACUAUACCACGUGGUUAACUUUUAGACUAUUGAUACUGACAGAAUAAGAACAAGUCUUUGAUAUUAAUUAAUAGUCUGCAGCUAGAAAUGAUAUCAUUGAACGCGAAGACCAACGAAACAUCCAUUCUAUGACGACAUUAAUGAAUGUCGCUUUGAAAGAUCCAUUCUAACCGAGAGAGAGAGAGAGAGAGAGAGAACUCUCCAACAGAACGACGCUCCAACAAGGAUCCCAACGACACACUGAGCGUAAAUAUAUAUUGAUUGCAAUUGUUCUCGAAUGAGUGAGCGUUCAUGUGCAAAGGAUUAGCAUAUCAAUUGUUAAUAUUAAUGAACUCUGUAGGGUCUUCUCAGCUGCCCUUUAUGACCCAUUGUUCAACAAGACACCAGCCAUGCCUGUUAGCCACUAGGGCACAUUACUCUACCAAUUCUUUGUGAUGAUAAUUACUGUU
rnacentral:lncRNA from 1 species